GACGAACGCUGGCGGCAUGCCUAACACAUGCAAGUCGAACGAGACCUUCGGGUCUGGUGGCGCACGGGUGCGUAAAGCGUGGGAACAUGCCCUUAGGAUCGGCCUAACUCCCUGAAAGAGGUGCUAAUAACGGAUAAUGUUUCCGGACAAAAGAUUUAUCGCCUUGGGCUGGGCCCGCGUUGGAUUCGCCUGUUGGUAGGGUAAAAGCCUACCAAGGCGACGAUCCAUAGCUGGUCGGGGAGGAGGACCAGCCACACUGGGACUGAGACACGGCCCAGACUCCGAGCGGGGGCAGCAGAAGGGAACAUUGGACAAGGAGCGAAAGCCUGAUCCAGCAAUGCCGCGGGAGAAAGGAGUGCCGUAGGGUUGUAAAGCUCGUUGGCCCGAAAUGAUAAUGACGGUACCGGGAGAAGAAGCACCGGCUAACUCCGUG
rnacentral:rRNA from 1 species